UACGUAGAGUGCAAGCGUUGUCCGGGAAUUAUUGGGCGUAAAGGGUACGCAGGCGGAUAGUAAAGUCAAGCGUGAAAGGUGUCGGCUUAACCGACAGACUGCGUUUGAAACUGAUUAUCUUGAGUGUAACACGAGGAGAGUGGAAUUCCUAGUAGUAGUGGUGAAAUACGUAGAUAUUAGGAAGAACACCAGUGGCGAAGGGCGACUUCUCUGGGGUUAACACGUGACGCUGAGGUACGAAAGCUGGGGGAGCAAACGGGAUUAGAUACCCCCGUAGU
rnacentral:rRNA from 1 species